GAUGAACGCUGGCGGCGUGCCUAAUACAUGCCAGUCGAGCGAACGGACGAGAAGCUUGCUUCUCUGAUGUUAGCGGCGGACGGGUGAGUAACACGUGGAUAACCUACCUAUAAGACUGGGAUAACUUCGGGAAACCGGAGCUAAUACCGGAUGAUAUUUUGAACCGCAUGGUUCAAAAGUGAAAGACGGUCUUGCUGUCACUUAUAGAUGGAUCCGCGCUGCAUUAGCUAGUUGGUAAGGUAACGGCCUACCAAGGCAACGAUGCAUAGCCGACCUGAGAGGGUGAUCGGCCACACUGGAACUGAGACACGGUCCAGACUCCUACGGGAGGCAGCAGUAGGGAAUCUUCCGCAAUGGGCGAAAGCCUGACGGAGCAACGCCGCGUGAGUGAUGAAGGUCUUCGGAUCGUAAAACUCUGUUAUUAGGGAAGAACAUAUGUGUAAGUAACUGUGCACAUCUUGACGGUACCUAAUCAGAAAGCCACGGCUAACUACGUG
rnacentral:rRNA from 1 species